rnacentral:rRNA from 1 species
CCUACGGGGGGCAGCAGUGGGGAAUAUUGCGCAAUGGAGGAAACUCUGACGCAGCAACGCCGCGUGAAGGAUGAAGGUUUUCGGAUUGUAAACUUCUUUGAUCGGGGACGAAAAUGACGGUACCCGAGGAACAAGCCACGGCUAACUACGUGCCAGCAGCCGCGGUAAUACGUAGGUGGCAAGCGUUGUCCGGAAUUACUGGGUGUAAAGGGCGUGUAGGCGGGAAGGCAAGUCAGAUGUGAAAUCCCAGGGCUUAACUCUGGAGCUGCAUCUGAAACUGUUUUUCUUGAGUACUGGAGAG